GGCAGUAUGUCUGGCUCGAGAGGAGGUGCUGGAUUCGUGAUUCAUGGCCCGAACUCGAAAUCAUUGGCGGCAUAUGGGAGUUGUCCGGUAGAUACUACAGUCUCAGGGGCAAAGUUACGGGCAGCAUGGGUUGGCAAUGCCUAUUCGAGGUUAGUGCUUAUGAUGGAACAACUUAUCAUUGAGGAUAACUCGAUUAUCGUGAUAAGAUGGAUUUAGAAGCAAGAUAUAAAGAAUGUUGCUCACCUACUUAUGAGGGACAUUACGAUACUGCUAAAGGGAGUUGCUGUCAUAUAUGCCAGACAUAUCUAUAAGGAGGCCAACACCACCACAGAUUGGGUUGUCUCUUUUGU
rnacentral:lncRNA from 1 species